rnacentral:rRNA from 1 species
UACAGAGGUCUCAAGCGUUGUUCGGAUUCAUUGGGCGUAAAGGGUGCGUAGGUGGCGGGGUAAGUCUGGUGUGAAAUCCUGGGGGCUCAACCCCGGAACUGCACUGGAUACUGCUUUGCUAGAGUACUGGAGAGGGAACUGGAAUUUACGGUGUAGCAGUGAAAUGCGUAGGUAUCGUAAGGAAGACCAGUGGCGAAGGCGAGUUCCUGGACAGUUACUGACACUGAGGCACGAAGGCCAGGGGAGCAAACGGG